CUACAAAGUAGGAUUGAAAACUCAGGAUGGGGUGGAGGGGUAUUUCCCUUCCUCUGAAAUUCCUCCCCCAUAUAUGCAUACUGCUAAACCAUCCCUAGCAGGGAUUACUUUCAUCUCCAGCUCAUGAAGAAACUUCUGAAGAGCUUUUUGCUUUUGUCCUUGGAAUGAGCCACAUUGUGCAAAAUGGCGCACGAAACUUUUCCUUGAAGAAGGAGCUUGAAUGGCUCCCACCAUGUGCUUUCCUUCUCCUUCCUUUGCCAGUAUCAAAGUUCCUGUUGUGCAGGAUACAAUAUAGGAUACGUACAUCUCUGUUCAAGCCUUUCAAAGUGAGCACCUGCUGAAGAUCAUCAGGCUCCUGAAGAUGUACACAAACCUGCUAAAUUGCAUAUCCUGCAUAUCAGGAGUUAAGCCAACAUCCACUCAGAUGACAUGGAGGCCAACAGUCCUGUCAGGCAGUCAGAAGAUGCACUGUGAGAAAAUGAUUGCAUCCUUUCUUGAAGCAUCAAUUCCACCCAUCACCAUGGGGCUCCAAGCCACUGCAGAAAUCCUAUACAGAAUUGUUUGGAGAAGGCAAUUUUCUUCACUUCUGCCAAAGAGCAAACUUUUACAGUGGAAGAAAAAGUAAAAUGUAAUAACCUGUCCUAAAACAAGAAAAACAAACCUCCACUGUGCUCAUGUUUGAGAUCCCAGUGAAUUUCAAUAGCAUAUGAUAUUUGAAGACUGUUAUUUUAUGACUGAGAUCAUUUGGCAUAAAAAUAACCUUAAUGAUAGAUGAAACUUUUUAGGGGGUUUGUUUUAAAGUUCACAAAGUCCAAAAGUUUCUUUUACGUCUGAGAAACCAGCACAGUGAUUUUUUUGUGGAGAAUGUGCUAUAUUUUUUAAUAUAUAAGUAAACAUUUAACCCAUUUUAGAUGUCAAACAUAACUCCUCCCAAAGCAGGAGCCACAACGACUUUUUCCACUUUUGAAAGCUUCAGUUUGCCCCCUGCUACCUCAUCACAUACAGAUUACAUAAAGUUUUACCCUUAAGGCCAUAAUAAAAUCCCUCUAUUUAGCA
rnacentral:lncRNA from 14 species